UACGUAGGGUGCGAGCGUUGUCCGGAAUUAUUGGGCGUAAAGGGCUCGUAGGCGGUUUGUCGCGUCGGGAGUGAAAACCAUGGGCUUAACUCAUGGCUUGCUUUCGAUACGGGCAGACUAGAGGUAUGCAGGAGAGGGAAGCGGAAUUCCCGGUGUAGUGGUGAAAUGCGUAGAUAUCGGGAGGAACACCAGUGGCGAAGGCGGCUUCCUGGCCUGUUCUUGACGCUGAGGCGCGAAAGCUAGGGGAGCAAACAGG
rnacentral:rRNA from 1 species